rnacentral:rRNA from 1 species
GAGUUUGAUCGUGGCUCAGGAUGAACGCUGGCGGCGUGCCUAAUACAUGCAAGUCGAGCGAACGGACGAGAAGCUUGCUUCUCUGAUGUUAGCGGCGGACGGGUGAGUAACACGUGGGUAACCUACCUAUAAGACUGGGAUAACUCCGGGAAGCCGGGGCUAAUACCGGAUAACACAUGAAACCGCAUGGUUUCAUGAUGAAAGACGGUCUUGCUGUCACUUAUAGAUGGAUCCGCGCUGCAUUAGCUAGUUGGUAAGGUAACGGCUUACCAAGGCAACGAUGCAUAGCCGACCUGAGAGGGUGAUCGGCCACACUGGAACUGAGACACGGUCCAGACUCCUACGGGAGGCAGCAGUAGGGAAUCUUCCGCAAUGGGCGAAAGCCUGACGGAGCAACGCCGCGUGAGUGAUGAAGGUCUUCGGAUCGUAAAACUCUGUUAUUAGGGAAGAACAUAUGUGUAAGU